CUUGUACUCCCUCCGUUCGAAAAUACUUGUCAUCAAAAUGGACAAAAAGGGAUGUAUCUAGAACUAAAAUACAUCUAGAUACAUCCCCUUUUAUUCAUUUUGAUGACAAGUAUUUCCGGACGGAGGGAGUAUCUU
rnacentral:pre_miRNA from 1 species